ACCGUAUUGGAUUACUUCAAUUUGAAAAUGGAAUCCAAUUUUCAAAUUGAAGUAAUCCAAUAAGGU